AUGGUUUUCCCAGGAAGGGGAAGGAUCCGUGUCGAUGCUGACAGCGUUCAAAGGAUACUAUACCUUGAUGCGCUUGUCCAUGACAUCCCAGUAAGCACCUGCGCGAUACGAUCGAAUGCAUGGGAUAGUACUCUAAUUGCCAAGGUGAUCAAGAAGGAUACCAUCUCUCCUGGCGUGUUCGGCAAAUUACAAAAAAAGGCAAAGAUUGCGAAAGUGGUCAAUGACAUGUGCAAGGCUGUAACUGAACAGGUUGGCACCUUCAUUGAAGCAGUUGCCAAGAUCGAUGAUGAGGAACCGGAUAUUGAUCCUUACGUACAGCAGCCAUCAAUGCAAACUGGGGCGUCACGCCGUGCUCCAAAAAGAAAGAGACGGGGGUCAACUAUACAAGAAGAAGAAGAGUUCGUUGAGGAUGAGUCAGAAGAAGAUGAGGAAAUGGAAGCAGCGAUAGAUGUUGACGAUGACGGGGACACAGACGCGGAUGAAUCAGAGGAGGAAGACAAGGAUGAGGAUGACAAUGAAGAAGAUGCAGAGGAGGAGGAGGAGGACAAACAAGAAGAGGACAAAGGAGAGGAGGGGGAGGAGGAAGAAGAUAGUGAGGCAGAGGAGGAGGAAGAAGAAGGUGAGGCCGAAGAGGGGGACGGGGACAAAGGUGUAGCAGUUGAUGACAGUGAGAGGGGAGAAGACAAAGGCGCAGCAGCUGAUGGCGGUGAGAGGGAAGAAGACGACAAUGAAGAAGACGAGGACGGUUAUGGUGAUGAUGUUGGGGGAUCCAAUGGAGGUAGCGGCAGCAGCGAUGAUAAUGACAACGCCCCUGGUUCUGGUGGUACAGGUGGCAACACAUCCAGGAGUACUAGCACUUCUACCACCCCUGCCAGCAGCAAAAAUUCAUUGAGUAGCAGGAGCACACUACAGAUGUUAAUCGACAAAACUUGCUGGAAAGACAAGGAUUUGCCAAAGUCAAAGAAAAAUGACGAAGCAGAGUCUCAGGGCAGCAUUGAUAUGUUCAAGCUCUGCAACUUGAAGCCAGCUUUGCCAACCACCUUUCCUGUGUCAGAUUUUAGCGACCAAGAUAUGUGUGAGAAGAUCAACUUUGACAUUAACAAGAGCCUGUUCUUAUCAAGUGUUGCUGAAAAGAAUCAAAUUGACAUGGAGGAAGCAGGAAAGGGUCUUGACUGGGUUCAUUCAAAGGAAAAAUACAAGGAAUAUCUGAAGCAAUUUCCAGACCUAAGCUCCGGCAAGAGCAAGGCAGCAUCCAUGGAAAACCCUCACGUGGUCCAGAAGCGUAAAGCAGUUUCAAUGAAGAAGAAUCUGCAGUUGCCUGAAACCAAGGAGAAGAUGGUGAGUGCAGAUGCUGAAGUAAAUAUGGUCAAGGAAGCUGUGCUUCAAACUGAUAUGCCAACUGUAGUGAGUAGAGAGCCAACCACCAUCGCAGGAGUUCCACAGAUCAAGGGGAAGACUCCCCUUUCAACAGUCCCACCAAAACCACCUAAGCAGCAAAAGAUUGUCAAGUUUGCUAGGGGCAAAAGGUGGAACAUGCCACAAAAGAUGCCCACCACAGAUACCAGUGUGCCAAUUGAUGUGUCAGCUAGCAGCGUGGCCAUAGUCAAAACCACCAUAGCUGCUCAGGAAGGCACCACUGCAACUGCAAGCCCCAAGGUGCCUACUCAUAGAGUUGCUUCAAUGCCAAACACAAAAGGAGGAGAUGUCCUGGUCCUUGAACCCAUACGAAGAUCAAAGUCUUAUCAUGGUGACGGGUUCUGCGAUGCACCAUCUUUGGACCUCGGCAUAGAUGGUCAUGCUCCAGCACCUGCUCCAGCAGCAGAAACAGCGAAAGGCGGUGUGAUUAGUAUUGAUGAGUGUGAGUUGGACCCAGCAGCUGUGAAUGAAAGAUGCGCUGCUGCUGAUGCUGGCAAGGCAAUAGCUCAAGAGCUAGAUGUUGGAUCACCAGAGAAUUGCCACACCCCGAUAUGCGCAGAACCAGAAGUUGGCACGAGCAGUUCUUCGGGACCACCUAUUGCACGAAGACAGAGGAGGGUAAUAAGGCCCGUAGCAUCUCAAAGGUCUCCAUUCAUUGACUACAACAAGAAGAAGUCUUUCAGCUCCAAUGAGGCAGUGAACAAGCUUUACGCUGCCCUCUUGUAUUGGGUCAGGCAUCAUGAAGGAGCAAAUGAUGAAGCUACCAGCCCUGAGAUAAUCAGGUAUGGUGAUUUCUUCAUUUCUUUAAAGGAGUUAGUUGAUUCGAUGAAUCCGGUUCAAUGGCUGUCAAAAAUUGUUAUUGAGAUUGGAAUCUUACACAUCAUGGAGAGCUUACCAGAAGGGUCAAAGAAGGUUGUUAUGCCACUGAGGUUUUCGGUCAUGAUGCCAGUGCUCGAGUGCACUGAUGUAACCGAUAAGGAGGGAGGGAGGCAUUAUUGGGUCUUCAAUGUCAACAUUAUUGGGUCUUCAAUGUCAACUUGA
rnacentral:rRNA from 1 species